AUAUAUAUAUAUGUAACCAGUGUAAGUAAUUAAAUGUUUCAGUUUCAAUGUUUUAAUUAUUUCUAUUAUGUGUGUCUACGUUUGUUUUGUCAAGUGUGAAUGUCCACGUGUGAGUGUUUACAUUUGUAAGGUGUGACGUAUUUGACCAUUUCCUGUUUGACCAGUUACUAUUAAUAACUUUUCACUAACUUUCCCGCGGCUUACCAUUUUCGUGCACACUCGGCGCUACACCCUUGACGGGAAUAGUCAUAUCUAUCUACAGUAGCUGAUUUAUAUAGUGUGCCUGGUUUUUAUUAUAUUUCAAUCAAUAAAUGAUAUACUUGUCAAACCACCA